rnacentral:rRNA from 1 species
AUGAACGCUGGCGGCGUGCCUAAUACAUGCAAGUCGAGCGAACAGACGAGGAGCUUGCUCCUCUGACGUUAGCGGCGGACGGGUGAGUAACACGUGGAUAACCUACCUAUAAGACUGGGAUAACUUCGGGAAACCGGAGCUAAUACCGGAUAAUAUAUUGAACCGCAUGGUUCAAUAGUGAAAGACGGUUUUGCUGUCACUUAUAGAUGGAUCCGCGCCGCAUUAGCUAGUUGGUAAGGUAACGGCUUACCAAGGCGACGAUGCGUAGCCGACCUGAGAGGGUGAUCGGCCACACUGGAACUGAGACACGGUCCAGACUCCUACGGGAGGCAGCAGUAGGGAAUCUUCCGCAAUGGGCGAAAGCCUGACGGAGCAACGCCGCGUGAGUGAUGAAGGUCUUCGGAUCGUAAAACUCUGUUAUUAGGGAAGAACAAAUGUGUAAGUAACUAUGUACGUCUUGACGGUACCUAAUCAGAAAGCCACGGCUAACUACGUG